rnacentral:lncRNA from 1 species
AUUCAUAAGAAAUAUGAGUAUUUAUGCUAAUAGCAUAAAUUUUGAGAGAAAAAAAACUUAAUUUAAUAGCCGAAUUUUUUAUCCCGAAUUUUUAAUUGAUGAACGUAUAAUAUCGGUAUAAAUCACGUAUCCAAAUAAUUGGUAAAUCCAUUUUUUAGCCGUAUUUUUCAACGAAUUUAAAAAUUAGAAGAAAGAAUUUUAUCUGAAUUAUACCCGUACCGAAUUUUUGCCGAAUCCGAAUUAACUAAUUAUGCGAAAUCGUAAAGCACC